rnacentral:misc_RNA from 1 species
GAUGAAGAACGCAGCGAAAUGCGAUAAGUAAUGUGAAUUGCAGAAUUCAGUGAAUCAUCGAAUCUUUGAACGCACAUUGCGCCCGCCAGUAUUCUGGCGGGCAUGCCUGUUCGAGCGUCAUUACAACCCUCAGGCCCCCGGGCCUGGCGUUGGGGAUCGGCGGAGCCCCCCGUGGGCACACGCCGUCCCCCAAAUACAGUGGCGGUCCCGCCGCAGCUUCCAUCGCGUAGUAGCUAACACCUCGCGACUGGAGAGCGGCGCGGCCACGCCGCAAAACACCCAACUCUUCUGAAGUUGACCUCGAAUCAGGUAGGAAUACCCGCUGAACUUAAGCAUAUCAAUAAGCGGAGGA